rnacentral:rRNA from 1 species
GAUCUUGGCUCAGAUUGAACGCUGGCGGCAGGCCUAACACAUGCAAGUCGAACGGUAACAGGAAGAAGCUUGCUUCUUUGCUGACGAGUGGCGGACGGGUGAGUAAUGUCUGGGAAACUGCCUGAUGGAGGGGGAUAACUACUGGAAACGGUAGCUAAUACCGCAUAACGUCGCAAGACCAAAGAGGGGGGACCUUCGGGCCUCUUGCAUCGAUGUGCCAGAUGGGAUUAGCUAGUAGGUGGGUAACGG